rnacentral:tRNA from 1 species
GGUGCCCCCACUACCAAG